CUUUUCUAUUUAUCCAUUUUAAUUUCAUCAUUAAAUAGAAACCCUUUUUGGAUUUCUGUUUUUGCUGGUAUUGAUCCAGAUUUGGAUGCUCAAGUGGAAUUUGGAACAUUCCAAAAAGUGGGAGAUCCAACUACAAGGAAACAGGCAGCCUGA
rnacentral:rRNA from 1 species